AUACAGGUGUUGCAUGGCUGUCGUCAGCUCGUGUCGUGAGAUGUUGGUUAAGUCCCGCAGCGAGCGCAACCCUCGCCAUUAGUUGCCAUCAUUAAGUUGGGCACUCUAGUGGGACCGCCGGUGGGUAAGCCGGAGGAAGGUGGGGAUGACGUCAAGUCCUCAUGGCCCUUACGGGGUGGGCUACACACGUGCUACAAUGGCGACUACAGAGGGCAGCAAGCCAGCGAUGGGAGCUAAUCCCUAAAAGUCGUCUCAGUUCGGAUUGCACUCUGCAACUCGAGUGCAUGAAGUCGGAAUCGCUAGUAAUCGCGGAUCAGCAUGCCGCAGUGAAUACGUUCCCGGGCCUU
rnacentral:rRNA from 1 species